rnacentral:rRNA from 1 species
GCGACGGGGGGAUCCCAAGUGUUAUGCUUAAUAGUAUAACUUUUCAUUAGUGUAAAAAGCUUUUAGAAUAAGAGCUGGGCAAGACCGGUGCCAGCCGCCGCGGUAAUACCGGCAGCUCGAGUGGUAGCUGUUUUUAUUGGGCCUAAAGCGUUCGUAGCCGGUUUGAUAAGUCUUUGGUGAAAGCUUGUAGCUUAACUAUAAGAAUUGCUGGAGAUACUAUCAGACUUGAAGUCGGGAGAGGUUAGAGGUACUACCGGGGUAGGGGUGAAAUCCUAUAAUCCUGGGAGGACCACCUGUGGCGAAGGCGUCUAACUUGAACGAUCUUGACGGUGAGUAACGAAAGCCAGGGGCGCGAACCGGAUUAGAUACCCGGGUAGUCCUGGCCGUAAACGAUGUGGACUUGGUGUUGGAAUGGCUUUGAGUUGUUCCAGUGCCGAAGGGAAGCUGUUAAGUCCACCGCCUGGGAAGUACGGUCGCAAGACUGAAACUUAA